AAAAAAAAGAGAAAAAAAAGAAAAAAAAAAGGAGGAGGAGGAGGAGGGUGAGAGAGAAGCUGGGAGAGCAGAGAAAAGGGGCCACCGGUCGCCCCCCCGCUUCCCCGCACGCGCUCUCCAGCCGCGGCCGCCCGCCUGCCGCGGUCACCCCGGCCUCUGCCUCUGUCCCCCAGUGAUCGGAUCAAGGCGCUGAGCGAGGCCCUGCCUGCGGGGCGGCCAUGCGGCGGUGACAGGAGCGCGACCGACACGCACGGGCCCCUCGCCCCCUCUCGCCUCCCGUCCGCUCGCCAGCUCCCCUCAGCCGAGGCUGCUCAGCGGCGGCCGCAGCCCGCGCGCGGCCCACACUCGCCUCCCCUCGGCACCCCCGGCCCCGGAGCUGCCUGGAGGCGGCCGCACUCGGUGUAAAGAACUGGCCAAGUCCAAAGCCGAAGUGGCCUGCAUUGCAGUGUACGAAACAGACGUGUUUGUCGUCGGAACUGAAAGAGGACGUGCUUUUGUCAAUACCAGAAAGGAUUUUCAAAAAGAUUUUGUAAAAU
rnacentral:sRNA from 1 species